rnacentral:rRNA from 1 species
AUUGAACGCUGGCGGCAUGCCUUACACAUGCAAGUCGAACGGUAACAGGUCUCCGGAUGCUGACGAGUGGCGAACGGGUGAGUAAUACAUCGGAACGUGCCUAGUAGUGGGGGAUAACUACUCGAAAGAGUGGCUAAUACCGCAUGAGAUCUACGGAUGAAAGCAGGGGAUCGCAAGACCUUGUGCUAUUAGAGCGGCCGAUGGCAGAUUAGGUAGUUGGUGGGAUAAAAGCUUACCAAGCCGACGAUCUGUAGCUGGUCUGAGAGGACGAUCAGCCACACUGGGACUGAGACACGGCCCAGACUCCUACGGGAGGCAGCAGUGGGGAAUUUUGGACAAUGGGGGCAACCCUGAUCCAGCAAUGCCGCGUGCAGGAAGAAGGCCUUCGGGUUGUAAACUGCUUUUGUACGGAACGAAACGGUCUGGGUUAAUACCCUGGGCUAAUGACGGUACCGUAAGAAUAAGCACCGGCUAACUACGUGCCAGCAGCCGCCGCGGUAA